AUUAGCGUGUAGAACUCUGUUCUGGGCUCUGUAACCACAGGCAAUGUUUCCCAUGUGGGAAGUGCUGCGCAUGUUCCAGGCCAGGAAUCUGGAAGGGAGCAGAGAGGCACCUACCUUCUCAGGGUUUUUCAGGAUAGUUAUCAAUUUCGGAAGCUCGUUUACAUCAGAGUACAACAAGCUACCAGAUUAAUGGAAUGGCUGGGACCCCUAUCUUACAAUGCGUUCUGCCUUCCCUGAGCAGCAUAUUGACAGCAUUCUGGCAUCCCAGCAGCAAGACAUAUAUGCAUCCCUGCAAAGGAGUAAAGAUCAUGCUUUUCUUAAGAUGCUUUUAGAAUUACGAAUUUGGUUGAAAAUAUAAAUUAGGUUCAAGAGAAGGUCACAAUCUCUGCCAGAAAUCAAGGCUGCCUAAAACUACCUGAACCAGACCACACCAAGAAAAAUGCUAACAUGCCAAGAGGAAAGACCAUCAGGCCUCAACACUAGACAAAGAACAUUGAAGGGCCACUAAGGAAUGCCAAGUGUGAGGAAUAAAGUCUACUACAGGGAAGGGGACAACAACUGGUUAUCUUAUCAAAAUGCAAGCCCUUAAGUAACAUUUUAUGGAUUGAUCAGGUCUGGUGUUGAAGCACCAGGUGUAAAAAGCUCUCUGUCACUGAUGCGUUAAAAGACUCAGUGUUCUACUCCUUUCCAAGAAUUGCUCAACUAUGUGGUUUGCUCAGAGCAUGAGAUAUUUUCAAUCUCAGAAGUAACCAUGAGAAUUCAAUGGAUCUCUACAGUGCCAUUAUCAUGGUACAUUAUACUGUUUGCAAUUUUCUUGGGGAAACUUGAAAAUGGAUUAAUUUGGGGAGACGCAGGCUCAGAGGAUCAGUAAGAAGCCUUACAGGAACACACUACUGCCUGAGAAGGUCAAGGACCUCUUGACUUCAGACUUCUCAGUAGGAAGAAAAUGAGUGUUCUCUUCAUCUGGUGACCUGAUCUUAUGUGACUAGUGAUGAUGAUCCCUCCUGAAGCAUCAUGAGCCCAUAUCUUAUGAACUGUGGAUUGAAAACAGAUUGAAGUUGAGGAAGUCAGGUGACAAUAUGAUCAAAAGAGCAUUGGAAAGACUGAGCAAAGCAACACUGUGUACUGACCAGACGUCACCACUACCUAGACGAUGACAAAUUCCCCACCUUCUGGCCUCAACUGUACUACAAUCUCCUCAACUCAGCCUCCUAAGUGGUGUAUAAUAGGUGUGAGCCAUCAUCUCUAGCUGCUGAGUAAACAGAAUUCUAAAAUAUUUUUA
rnacentral:lncRNA from 1 species